GUCAUGUGGCCUAGUGGUCAUGGCAUCUGCCCGGUAAGCGGAAGGUCGUAGGUUCGAUUCCCAUCCGUUGACA
rnacentral:tRNA from 1 species